CAAUUUACCUGGCAGGGGAGAUACUAUGAUCAUGAAGGUGGUCUACCCAGGGCGAGGCCCAGCCAUUGCAUCGGUUGUGUUGACUCGUGCGAAUUCCCAAAUGUGGAGAAUCUCGGACUGCACAAUUUGUGGUAGUGGACUGCGCCCGCGCCUCCUG